UAACCUAACUUUGUUUGUUAUUGUUUGAAUUUUGAAUAUUUUUAAUUCAGUUCCAACAUAUAUUUUUUAUUUUUCUAAUUACAAUAAAAAUGUAUGAAGAAGUAAAAGCAUUUUUAGAGUUUAUUGAUAAUAUUGGAGAAGAAAAUCGCCCAGGAAGUAUACAAAAGCGAUAUAUUCAAGAUAAAAAUAUAAUCUAAAAUACAAUGGAGUAUUACAAUAUUGAAAUUCAUCAGCGAAUCAGCGCAUUAACUUAAACAACAAAGGUUUUAUGCUACUUAUAGGAAUAUAACCAGUUUUUAUAAGGAAACCCACUUUCCAAAAAUGUACAGGUACUAGAAGAGAAAUUAUGUAUAUUAUUGUAUUGUUCAACAACAAGGUUAUCAAGUCAUUCAAUAUUUGAUCUAAGAGCAUUAAGAGUGAAAUUGUGAAAUGGAAAGAAGUGAAAUUCCAGGAUUAUUAAUAGGAAUAGAUGACAGUAGUGGGUAUGCAUGCAGACACUAUCUACUUACCCCAGUAUUACAGCCAGGUAAUGAUCAAGAAAAUAAGAUAUUUUUACCAUAGUACUCAUGUGAGAACAAGAAAUGUAGAAAAGCUAUUUGGAACCUGGAAAGAUGAGGUAUGCCCUGUAUUGUUCAAAAUUAUAUUUCAUAUGCUUCCAUCCUUCCUCUUAGAACGUGGUCCUAUUAUGAAUGUAUAUGGAUCGGGGUAUGCCCUGUAUAGUUCAAAAUUAUAUUUCAUAUGCUUCCAUCCUUCCUCUUAGAACGUGGUCCUAUUUUGAUGAAUGUAUAUGGAUCGUGGUAUGCCCUGUAUAGUUCAAAAUUAUAUCUUCUCUGGUCUUCAUAUUUUAGAUGCUAUUUAGCCUGAUUCUAGUGCUUUAUCGUUAUUUCCAGUGCUUUAUCAAUUUAUCAUCAUUUAUUUUACCUACCUGUCUACUGCUACUCUACUAUUGUACUUUCACCAUAUAUUUUUGGAAUAUAAAUAUAUAGUAACCUUCUGUCUUUCUCUUGUUCAACUGGAAUUUGUUUAUUUAUUCUGAGAAUACAUUAUUGAAUCUGUAUUAUGUUAGAUAUAUUAUUUUUUAUUUUAUUUCUUAAUAUGUAUUUUUUAUAUUUUAUUUUAAAAUAAAUGAGUAUGAGUUUCCCUCUUCUUAAAUAAGUAUUUAUUUGACAAACCUUUCCUUACCAAAUAUAAAAUUAAUUACACAUCUGGACCUCGGAGGUAAACUACACUAUGUCAUUUCGAGCAACUGUGUUUAGCAUGUGUUUGCAACAAAGUUUAGAGCACUUAGGAUGUUAAUAAAAAUCUGAUAUAUCCCAUAAUUAGUUGACAGACAAUAUGACUAUAUUUUAAUGAUAAUAUAUAACCAAUGUGUAUAAUCCAACUAAUAAAAAAACACCAUGUCGACAUAGUGUAGAUUACCUCCGAGGUCCGGGCGUGUAAACAGCAAUACUUUGAUGAGCACUCUAAUAACCAGCAAAAUAGCGCAAAAAAUGGAAAACAUAUGUUGUGAAAUAAAGAGAUGUAAAAUUAUCUAUAGGAACCUAUAAAUUUACAUUACAUAGUUUGUCACCUUUAGAUGUGUGGGAGGAGUAUGACAACUGUCACAGAGGUCUAAAGGUGGGAAAUUAUGUAAUGUAAUGUAAAUUUAUAGGUUCCUAUUGAUAAUUGUACACCUCUACUAGUUUCAUCUCCUUUUAUUUCACAACGUACUAUAUGUUUCCAUCUUUUGUGUCAUUUUUCCAGUUAAUAGCACGCUCAUCACUGUAUACCAUUAUUUAUGCAGAUGACAUAGUCCUCUUAACAAGAAAAAAAGCUGAAGUUGUUUAGAAACUUAAGAGGUGAAGCAAGAAAAUUGCAUGUCUAUAAAUGAAACAAAAAUAAAAUAUUAAGUGUAUUGAAAUGUGUGGAGAGAUGAAAUAGAAUAAAUUUUUCACACUAAAAACAGGAACAAAAGCAUACAAAAUUGAAAAUAUCAACAAAUUCAAGUAUUUAGUAGUGGCAAUAAUUGAUAAAUGGGAAGAAGAAAAAGAAAUAGAAAAGAUACUACUAAGAGUAAGCUAGUAAGCAGAUCGAUGGUAUAUAAUUGAAGUCAAAAAUGUAUGUAGGACAACUAUAAUGCAAAAAUGUAUUAUGAAGCAGUUAUUUUAAGUGGCAUUGUAUGCUUGUGGCACUUGAAACAAUGAAUAAGAAAGAUGAAAUGAAAAUAGACAUAGUACUGGUAGGGGCUGGCA